GUAGGUGGCAAGCGUUGUCCGGAAUUAUUGGGCGUAAAGCGCGCGCAGGCGGUUCUUUAAGUCUGAUGUGAAAGCCCACGGCUCAACCGUGGAGGGUCAUUGGAAACUGGAGAACUUGAGUACAGAAGAGGAAAGCGGAAUUCCACGUGUAGCGGUGAAAUGCGUAGAGAUGUGGAGGAACACCAGUGGCGAAGGCGGCUUUCUGGUCUGUAACUGACGCUGAGGCGCGAAAGCGUGGAGAGCAAACAGGAUUAGAUACCCUGGUAGUCCACGCCGUAAACGAUGAGUGCUAAGUGUUAGGGGGUUUCCGCCCCCCUUAGUGCUGCAGCUAACGCAUUAAGCACUCCGCCCCGGGGAGUACGGCCGCAAGGCUG
rnacentral:rRNA from 1 species